GGUUGGCAGGGAGAGGGAUUGGCUUGCGCUUGCUGUAGAAGGUGGAGUUGGCGCUGCAGAAUCCGCUGCGCGGAUCCGUGUUUGGAUAAGUGGAGAUAGAUUUCGCCAUUAAAGAGUUGAAGAUUCGCAGGUAGUGUUGGAGCAACUGAAAAAGUGGUGGGUUUAUACUUUAUAGUGCGCAAUUAUUUGAUGCCACAAUUAUUUGUAUUUCAUAUUUCAGAUCAUUUGUGGUCUGUUUAAUGGAGUAGUAAGUAGUAGUAGUAACUAGUAAGUUGGUGGUCUUUGACGCGGGGACACGUUGUGCACGUGUUUAAUGAAAAUGUGAGACUAAGAUGUGUCAUUAUUUUAUUUUAGACA